rnacentral:rRNA from 1 species
UUGUUCGUAACAGGACACAACCUCCUAUACAGGGUAAACAAAGGUGACUUAGACAAAGUAGGCCCAGAAGCAGCCACCUACUAAAAAGCGUCACAGCUUUAUCUUACCCACCCGCAAUUACGCAACCCCCCAUCAACCCUUACCCCCUACUGAACCACUUUAUACCUUAUAAAAGCUAUUAUGCUAGAACUAGUAACAAGAAACCCCUCUCCUAAAUGUGAACAUAAACCAAAACGGACCCCCCAUUGGCUAUCAACGUACAUGUACUCCCUAUAACAACCACACACUAGAAAACCCUAUAGCACAAAACGUUAACCUCACACCAGAACAUUCAAGGAAAGAUUAAAAGAAAGAGAAGGAACUCGGCAAACCCUAGCCCCGCCUGUUUACCAAAAACAUCGCCUCUUGACAUACAUAAGAGGUCUAGCCUGCCCAGUGACAAAGUUUAACGGCCGCGGUACCCUGACCGUGCAAAGGUAGCAUAAUCACUUGUUCUUUAAAUGAGGACUCGUAUCAACGGCAUCACGAGGGCUUUACUGUCUCCUCUCUCCAAUCAGUGAAACUGAUCCCCCCGUGAAGAAGCGGGGAUUUUAUU